ACUCAAAGGAAUUGACGGGGACCCGCACAAGCGGUGGAGUAUGUGGUUUAAUUCGACGCAACGCGAAAAACCUUACCUGGGCUCGAACGACUGGAAGUAAAACCUACGAAAGCAGGGAUGACCUGUAAAAUCAGGAACCAGCCGAGGUGCUGCAUGGUUGUCGUCAGCUCGUGUCGUGAGAUGUUGGGUUAAGUCCCGCAACGAGCGCAACCCCUAUCCUCUGUUGCCAGCCCGCAAGGGCGCACUCUGGGGAAACUGCCCACGAUGAGUGGGAGGAAGGCAGGGAUGACGUCAAAUCACCAUGGACCUUAUGUCCAGGGCUACACACGUACUACAAUGGCCGGUACAAUGGGACGCAAUACAGCAAUGUGGAGCCAAUCCCCCUAAAGCCGGCCCCAGUUCAGAUUGUGGGCUGCAAUUCGUCCACAUGAAGGUGGAAUCGCUAGUAAUCGCGAAUCAGAAGGUCGCGGUGAAUACGUUCCCGGGUCUUGCACACACCGCCCGU
rnacentral:rRNA from 1 species